CUACGGGGUGCUGCAGUGGGGAAUAUUGCACAAUGGGCGCAAGCCUGAUGCAGCCAUGCCGCGUGUAUGAAGAAGGCCUUCGGGUUGUAAAGUACUUUCAGCGGGGAGGAAGGGAGUAAAGUUAAUACCUUUGCUCAUUGACGUUACCCGCAGAAGAAGCACCGGCUAACUCCGUGCCAGCAGCCGCGGUAAUACGGAGGGUGCAAGCGUUAAUCGGAAUUACUGGGCGUAAAGCGCACGCAGGCGGUUUGUUAAGUCAGAUGUGAAAUCCCCGGGCUCAACCUGGGAACUGCAUCUGAUACUGGCAAGCUUGAGUCUCGUAGAGGGGGGUAGAAUUCCAGGUGUAGCGGUGAAAUGCGUAGAGAUCUGGAGGAAUACCGGUGGCGAAGGCGGCCCCCUGGACGAAGACUGACGCUCAGGUGCGAAAGUGUGGGGAGCAAACAGGAUUAGAUACCCUGGUAGUC
rnacentral:rRNA from 1 species